rnacentral:rRNA from 1 species
AGGCUACCGCUAUUGGAGUUCGAUUAAGCCAUGCGAGUCGAGAGUCUUCAAGGACUCGGCGUACCGCUCAGUAACACGUGGGUAACCUGCCCUAUGCUGGGGAAUAACCUCGGGAAACUGAGAAUAAUGCCCCAUAGCCCACUACGCCUGGAACGGUGAGUGGGUAAAAGCUCCGGCGGCAUAGGAUGGGCCUGCGCCGUAUCAGGUUGUAGGGGGUGUAAAGUACCCUCUAGCCAUCAACGCGUACGGGUGUUGGGAGACAUUGCCCGGAGAUGGAUUCUGAGACACGAAUCCAGACCCUACGGGGUGCAGCAGGCGCGAAAACUUGGCAAUGCGAGCAAUCGUGACCAGGGAACUCCAAGUGCGUAGGGUAAGACCUACGCUUUUCUUGACUCUUCAAAGGUCUUGGAAUAAGGGGUGGGUAAGGACGGUGCCAGCCGCCGCGGUAAUACCGGCGCCUCAAGUGGUAGUCGCUUUUAUUGGGCCUAAAACGUCCGUAGCCGGUCUGGUACAUUCGUGGGUAAAUCAACCCGCUCAACGGGUUGAAUUCUGCGAGCACGGCCAGACUUGGGACCGGGAGAGGUGUGGGGUACUCUCAGGGUAGGGGUAAAAUCCUGUCAUCCUGAGAGGACCACCUGUUGCGAAGGCGCCACACUAGAACGGAUCCGACGGUCAGGGACGAAACCUAGGGGCACGAACCGGAUUAGAUACCCGGGUAGUCCUAGGUGUAAACGCUGUGGACUUGAUGUUGGGGGCGCUCCGAGCGCUCUCAGUGUCGAAGCGAAGGUGAUAAGUCCACUGCCUGGGGAGUACGGUCGCAAGGCUGAAACUUAAAGGAAUUGGCGGGGGAGCACUGCA